UUAUUUAUAAAUUAACAAGACUCUCACCAGUUGACCUUGACUUGGGAAGAUGGCAUAUAGACGACUUGCAUUGCAGAUCUGGAGAGAGCUGGAAGAAGAGCCAUGGCCAUUCAGAAAACUGAAGAGCAGCAUUCAGCAUUUUUCCAUUUGCAGGGGAUAUGAUGUUUGGCUAUACAUGCACUUGCGCAUAAUGCACAUGUCGCCAGACAGGCCCUAACUCAAAAGCAGGUACGAGACUGUCUUCCCUACAUGUAAGUCGUAUACGUAUCGGACCAAGAUGAUUGUUUGUCAUCUCUGUCUUGUGACUCUCUACUGAAACUGAAAGUAGCUAGGAUUUGUCGUCCAUGGAUUAUGGUUUCGAUCGUAAGUUGAGUGUUGAUGGAUGCUGCAUGCUCCUAGUUCAGCUGUUUAAGUUUUAGGUGAGAUUUCCAUGUUCCAAGUUGGCCGACCACUAGUGAAUUAGUGAUGCAAUGAUCGAUGUACUGCACUAAUCACUAGGUAUGUCUAACUUGACAAUUAGUUGAGAAUACCAGGUAGACAAUAUUGGGCCGCAA